GUAGUCCUGGCUGUAAACGAUGUCGACUUGGAGGUUGUGCCCUUGAGGCGUGGCUUCCGGAGCUAACGCGUUAAGUCGACCGCCUGGGGAGUACGGCCGCAAGGUUAAAACUCAAAUGAAUUGACGGGGGCCCGCACAAGCGGCGGAGCAUGUGGUUUAAUUCGAUGCAACGCGAAGAACCUUACCUGGUCUUGACAUCCACGGAAGUUUUCAGAGAUGAGAAUGUGCCUUCGGGAACCGUGAGACAGGUGCUGCAUGGCUGUCGUCAGCUCGUGUUGUGAAAUGUUGGGUUAAGUCCCGCAACGAGCGCAACCCUUAUCCUUUGUUGCCAGCGGUCCGGCCGGGAACUCAAAGGAGACUGUUAGUGAUAAACUGGAGGAAGGUGGGGAUGACGUCAAGUCAUCAUGGCCCUUACGACCAGGGCUACACACGUGCUACAAUGGCGCAUACAAAGAGAAGCGACCUCGCGAGAGCAAGCGGACCUCAUAAAGUGCGUCGUAGUCCGGAUUGGAGUCUGCAACUCGACUCCAUGAAGUCGGAAUCGCUAGUAAUCGUGGAUCAGAAUGCCACGGUGAAUACGUUCCCGGGCCUUGUACACACCGCCCGUCACACCAUGGGAGUGGGUUGCAAAAGAAGUAGGUAGCUUAACCUCCGGGAGGGCGCUUACCACUUUGUGAUUCAUGACUGGGGUGAAGUCGUAACAAGGUAACCGUAGGGGAACCUGCGGCUGGAUCACCUCC
rnacentral:rRNA from 1 species